GACGAACGCUGGCGGCGUGCCUAAUACAUGCAAGUAGAACGCUGAAGGAGGAGCUUGCUUCUCUGGAUGAGUUGCGAACGGGUGAGUAACGCGUAGGUAACCUGCCUGGUAGCGGGGGAUAACUAUUGGAAACGAUAGCUAAUACCGCAUAAUAGUAGAUGUUGCAUGACAUUUGCUUAAAAGGUGCAAUUGCAUCACUACCAGAUGGACCUGCGUUGUAUUAGCUAGUUGGUGAGGUAACGGCUCACCAAGGCAACGAUACAUAGCCGACCUGAGAGGGUGAUCGGCCACACUGGGACUGAGACACGGCCCAGACUCCUACGGGAGGCAGCAGUAGGGAAUCUUCGGCAAUGGACGGAAGUCUGACUGAGCAACGCCGCGUGAGUGAAGAAGGUUUUCGGAUCGUAAAGCUCUGUUGUAAGAGAAGAACGAGUGUGAGAGUGGAAAGUUCACACUGUGACGGUAUCUUACCAGAAAGGGACGGCUAACUACGUG
rnacentral:rRNA from 1 species